GCUUUCCUGUGGUUCAGUUGGUAGAGCAUUGUGCUAACAACGCUAAGGUCGUGGGUUCAAAUACCAGGGAAAGCA
rnacentral:tRNA from 1 species